AUGACCUCUGGUCUUGGGUUCCUUUUAUUUGUACCACAUCAAAGUUUCCUUCAGCCUCUGCUGAAUGUCUGUGUUUCUUGUGUCGCCAGGAUUAGUGCCCAGACACGGAGCCAAUGCUCUCCCCAUGCCAGUGUUCCUGUGCUAACCUUGGCUAGACAUAGGACGGCUUACAGAAGAGGGAUGAUGCUGCUUGAGCUUCUUCCCAGCAGGCUGGGUUGGAGUUGUCAGAGACCUCCUGCUGAUCAGUCCAGGGCUGAUCUGGUUCCUUGUGGGACACCAGGGACACAGCUGCUUAAGAGACUUGCCAGAAACCUAAGUUGUGCCUCAACACUUCCCCCGAAUGACCGCAACACACAAGUUCAGGCACUGCACAAACACUGCUGUUGGUUACAAGAGCAAAGAGCCCCACAAAGAACCAGUACCUGGAGAACCAGUUGACCAAGGAAAUGGAGGCUGCUUUAAGAAGAAACCUGGUGUUUGUGGGGUACCCAAAGGAAAGCCAAGAAGAGCUGUCACUGCCCACUACAAAUCCCUGAAAGGGUAGGGAAGGCUAUUUAAGGUAAAUUCUGGCAUCAGAGAAGAAAAAAAAUUAAAACCUGUCUCCACAACAGCUCAGGUUAGAAGAGAAUAUCUCUCACCACUGAAGUGGUGUCUUGUGAAGUCCCUGAGCUCCCCAGGGCAGUGGUGGAGGCUGGAAACCCUUUGCUGAUCUACAGCCCAGAACUGCUUGUAUGCAGCAGUCGCUGAUGGGCAGGGGCUGGAGGGUUAUCCCAGCAGUGUUCCCUCCAACAAGGGAAUUGUGGAGCAGAGCAACAUCUGCUUACUGCAUUGAACAACCAGCCAUUGGGUUGGCAGUCUGCAGGGAUCCCCGGGAUAAGCUGCUGGCUAAAACCACAUCCCGGACACUGAUGAUGCCUGCAACAUCCAUCAGGCAACAAUAUCAAUUGAUCGCCUUUCACAGAGGGGAAGCAACCCAGAAGAAUUAGGCCUGCAAAUUUCAGUCUCUACCCUAAGAAGAAAUGAGUCUCAUGGGUGAAAAUAAUGUAGCACAGCCAGGGCUGGGCAGUUGGCAACCCUGGAAGCCAUGCUAGUCUCAUUAACAGGGAGGAGCAAGUGGGGACAAAGCCCAGAGGAAGCAGCUACCAGACACAUUGCAUCUGGGAAACCCUAGCGAGACAUGCAGCCCCUGGAGUUAUGGAGGGUGUGAGUAGAGAAAUGGCAGCAGGGGUACAGCAAGGACCCAGAGACCUCAAAGACCAGCCUGAAGCCCUGGCUGGGGCUGGUGGCCACCUCCAGGCCAGCAGACUCCCAAGGGAGAGGAGUUUCCUGCCCACACAUAAGAUUUUACCUCCAACUUUCUGCAGUUUAAAUCUGGUUUAUAUUGACAACUGGUAUAAAGGUCUGGUAGCCUGCUCACCCUGGCCCUAGGAUUUCUGGU
rnacentral:lncRNA from 1 species